rnacentral:lncRNA from 1 species
AGGAAGCGUUGCUGGGAGAAGUCACUAUGGUGACAGGGCGAUCAGGCGGUUUCUUGGUAACUGGUCCCAGGUCUGUGAGAGCAAUCGCCACCGCUUUCCUGGAACUUGAAAUAAAUCUCUUCACUAACUUGUGAAUACAAUCAGGUGGGAUUUUUUCAUGAGCUAGAAGCUGGAGACAUGAGACUGAAGAUAUCGCUUUUAAAAGAACCAAAGCAUAUCCUUUUAAUACCUAUAAACCUUAUUGUGAUUAUCUUACUAUAGUAUUGUUACAAGUUUUUU